UACACUGUGGAGAGGCGCAGCCGACGGGCCGACGGCGGGGCAGGGCACGCUGCAGCCCUGCCCAACAUGGCGGCAAGGAGGCGGAGAAUGCGGCGGGGCGUGCCAGGAGCAAAGCCGCCGCAAUCGAAUUCAGGUACGUGGCUCACACAUCGAGAAACGAUUAACAUUUCUCCUGACACUAUAUAAAAGGGGAGAAGGAGGAGAGAUCAAAGUGGAAGGAGGAGAGUCCGCAGCGCAUGAGAAGCGAGAGCAACACAGGGCGCAAGACGAGAACGACGACAACGGCGACUAGAAAGCAGACCGGGAACGAGCAGUGGAGGAAGGAGGUGCAUGUCUUUGGAGGUGGGAGGAAGCCGGAGUACCCGGAGGGAACCCACGCAUUCACGGGGAGAACAUGCAAACUCCACACAGAAAGAUCCCGAGCCUGGAUUUGAACCCAGGACUGCAGGAACUUCGUAUUGUGAGGCAGACGCACUAACCCCUCUGCCACCGUGAAGCCAAUCACGUAGAGCAAUCUUGCAGGUGUUGGACCUUGAAAGUAAUAAAUACCUCCAGAAAGAAUAACCCCUCCAGCUCCAGAAGCCUUCAAAUGGCGUGCAGGCGCAGAUUUCAACAAAAACCCAUGGCAUUCUCAAGGAGCCACUUGAAGAAACACUUCCAGACUGUUUGUUCAAGCAGCACGAGGUUCUCACUGUGUCAACUAUUUUUCUACUGUCUACAGGGUGGGCUUCAUUCACUGGAGGUAUCAAAUGAUCACCUAUUCUGUUUUCCCUGGAGGGUAUGUAGUGGUCAAAGCAUCAAUGAACCACUGUGGAGGUGGAAACCUCCGACACGCAACCAUGAAGGGAAGACGUCAGUCAUCCAUAAAGUGUAGAUUAAAAAAAAUGUGAACUUUAUGGGAAUGUUUGUUUAUUAAUCUAGGAAUUGAUCAAGUUGAAAGAGAAAUGCUGACUCACAAUCUUUCGUCCAUCCCAAAUGUUUUUGACGAGGUUGAUGUCAGGUCUCUGUUUCGCUAGGCCUCACUCCUUUACAAAUCCUUAGGCCCACCAGAUAGCUGGAAGCAUAGAUGUGUCCAAAAUGUGCAGUUAGGAUACCAGAUUUGAUUAAUUGAAUAAA